AGAUGUAGAGAACAGACCUGUGGUUGCCAAGUGGAGGGAGGGAUGGAUUGGGAGUUUGGGAUUAGCAGAUGCAAACUAUUAUAUACAGGAUGGAUAAACAACAAGGUCCUGCUGUAUAGCACAGGGAACUACAUUCACUAUCCUAUGAUGAGCCAUAAUGGAAAAGAAUACAAAUAAGAAUAAAUAUGUACAACUAUACACACUACUAUAUAUAAAAUAGAUGGUUAACAGGGAUCUACUGUAUAGCACAGGGAAAUUUCAAUACUGUGUAAUAACCUACAUGGGAAAAUAAUCUGAAAAAGAAUGGAUAUAGGUAUAUGCAUAACUGAUUUACUCUGCUGUACGCCUGAAACUAAGACAACUUUCUAAGUCAACUAUACUCCAAUAACAUUUAUUUUAAAAAAGAAUUUGUGAGUAUAACUGAAUCGCUCUGCGAUUAAGAAGAAAUUAACACAUUAUAAAUCAACUAUACUUCAACAAAAUUUUUUUAAAAAGAAAACCCAGACAAAACCAAAGCCAAACGACUAUUAAGUCGAUCAAGAGCGAUGCUUAGCUUUCCAACAGGAUGCCCUUAAAUAAUAUUUGUGCGCUGCAUUGAAAUAUUUGCAGUAGGUGCUGUAAAUUAAUGACCUGAAAACACUCUCACAACUUAUAGAUGACCAAUAAAUACCACAGUUGGGUGAUACUGACUUUCAAACAGUGGAAGAUAGGAAGGAUAGAGACAUGGGGAAAGAUGACCAAAAAAGGAAAUAGAAAAAGAGUAACCACGGGUGUUAGCAUCUCCCAGGAGAUAGUAUAAGUUCAUGGAAUAAGGAUUCAUUUUACAAAAGUUCACCUGACUACCCAUCAAUAGGGAAUACCUCUAUUACAUAAUGCAAGAUACAAAGGGCAAUCAUCUGACAGAGUAAUUUUGUCUUGAGCAUAGCAAGCUGAUUUGGGAGCUAGUGCUUCUAAAGGAUUUUUGAGAAAUAAUGAUGACUCAACUUAGCUCAACUACCAUUUACAAAUGCCUGCUCGCAGAGUUCCCAUUAUGCUUCAGCAGGUUAAGAACCCAACUAGUACCCAUGAGGAUGUAGGUUUGAUCCUUGGCCUUGUUUAGUAGGUGAAGGAUCCAGUGUGGCCGCAAGCUGCAGCAUAGAUCACAGAUGACACUCGGAUCUGGUGUUGCUGUGGCUGUGGUGUAAGACUGCAGCUGCAGCUCCAACCUGACCCCUAGCCUGGGAAUUUCCAUAGGCCGCAGGUGCAGCCCUAAAAAAACAAAACAAAUGCCUACUCUGUACUCGGCACUUUCAGGAGCUAAAGAGAUUAAUAAGAUAAGGGCUGUGUGCUCAAGAAACUCCUGGCCAGUGUGUGGAUGUUUUGAAAACAAUCUAAUUAUAAGGUAGAAAGUAAAAGAAAAGAAAAAAAACGAAACAAAAAGAAAAAGAAAAGCAAUACAGGAGAACAGAAAAGCCAAGAGUGAUGUAGAAGAGGAACAACAGGGGAAAAAGAAAACGUGGCUUGGUCCAAUGGACGACGGACCACGUAAUUCCAGGAACAGAGCCAGAGAAUUUUUCCCUCCAGAUGAGCAGAGCUUUGUCUAAAAAAAAAACACCAGCUUUAAUGGACCACAAUUUUGUCUCCCGGCCCAGUGGAGAGGGAGAUGGAGGCUGUCUGGGAUGUCAAGGUUUUGUGGAGAAAGGUGAGUCUGAGGAGCCAGCCUCAGUCAGUACAACAGAAGCAGAUGGACCAAGGGUCCAUCCUGUCCUGUGUCCCCACCCUGGAGAGCUAGCCUUUGGGCUCUAUUUAUGGGACCAACUGACGACAGGAGUAACCAGUCAUUCCAGGGCUGAGCUGCCCAGGCCCCAAACAUCUACCCACCUUUUAAGAACAGAGAUUAUUUUAAAACAAUUGUAGUCCCACAUUGCAAACAUGACACUGACACCUGAAUCCAGACUAGUAUAUUACAGUGCUCGCUUCGGCGCGCAAAUACAAAGUACUACAGUACAGUCAAGUUGCAUCAGUUACUUUUAUAUUUAAGGCACUUAGACGUAAACUCAGAAACAAUCUGGUAAUCAGAUAAAGAAGGUCUUGUUCAAAGUCAUGUUUGUUCAAGCAGGGGACUGUGCCAGGAUCCACUUACCAAGGCAAAUAGUUAUAACGGGGAUAUAUUUUGCAGCAGUACAAAAAUCAUCUGUCCAUGGGUCAGAUAUUAAAAAAUAAUACUUUGAUGUCAUAAAGUAUCAGUGAGUGUUAGAUAAUUGCUUUACAAAUAUUAUUUCAUAUAAUCCUUAUAAUAGUUCUGUUUGAUGAGAACGAUCAUUCUGUUUACAGAGGUAUAAACUGAGACUCAGGUUAAGCAAACUCACCAAGAUCACACAGCCAGUAAGUGGGAGAACCCAUAUUUGACCCAAGAUUGUCUGAUCCCAGAGCACUUUCUCUUACUGACUCAAUUUUAGUUAGUUAGUUAGUUUGUUCGUUAGGGCCCCACUUACAGCAUAUGGAAGUGGCCAGGCUAGUUCACAUCCUCGUGGUUACUAGUCAGGUGCAUUUCCACUGAGCCACAACGGGAACUCCCUUAUUGACUCUAUAACACAGAAAAGGAACAAGUGACAAUUUAAACCCCAGAGGUGAGAGUUACUACUGAAAAAGCUGCAUGUAGAUUUCCCCAAAAUGUGGCACUAAGGAUGCAGCUGCAAGUGUGAUGAAGUGAAGGCCAAGGAGCAACUCUCUCGGUGGAUGAAUGUUUGAUGGAUGAAUGGAUGGAAGGAUGGGUAGUUUGGGGGAGUAUUGCUCUUCUAAUAAGGAAUUGGGAGAUGCUUCCACACCCCAGAAAAGCAAAAACUAUUCUCUUCCACCUGUGGUCACAAGUUAAGUACCUGAUCACCAACCACAUUAGACUUCCUCACCCUUGGAAGUUCCUGUUGUGACUCAGUGGGUUAAGACCCCGACUCGUAACCAUAAGGAUGCGAGUUUGAUCCCUGGCCUCACCCAGUGGGUUAAGGAUUUGGCAUUGCUGCAAGCUGUGGUGGAAGUGUAGAUGCGGCUCAGAUCCUUAGUUGCCCUGGCUGUGGCAUGGGCUGGCAGCUGCAGUUCCGAUUCGACCCCACCCCAGGAACUUCCAUAUGCUGCAGGUGCAGCCCUUAAAAGAACCCCCUCCCCCCCAAAAAAAGACUUACUUACCCAACCCCAGACUAUAGUGCAUUUUAUAAAUGACCCAUGGGAAAGGUAACAGUCUGCCAGGUGGCUGGGAAACGACUAACCUAAGUCAUGACUCAGUGUGGGCGAGGGGCUUCUGGAGUCCAUAUAUGACCAGAUAACAAUCCAUUUGUAACAGGCAACUGGAUUUGAAACUAACUGGCUGGCUAGAAACGGACUUAGUGACCUUGUCUUUAGUCACACUCUGAAUUGAACAAAUCGCUCAUUGAGAAAGCCGGGAGCAACAAGUCAGGCCGUGUUAUAUAACACCAAGACCCAGUCCGUGCCAAGAUGAAUAGCAAGAAAUAAAGCUGAUGUGAUUCAUGUGCCAGAAUGGAAGUAUUCCUUGGUCCCUAGCAUCCAGGGUGAUUACAUAUUCUGCUGGUACUGGCUCAAAUUCAGUUCUAAAAUAUGCACUCCCUUCACCGAGGGAGGUUGCUUGGAGCUAAGAGCAUCCCAUCGGUACCAUCUGGGUCCCCGGAAAGGAGAUACUAAGGCAGAUUUAGGAGUGUGAAAAGCUUACUGGGAGGGACACUUGAGAAAGGGAAAAGGGAUCUGAGACGGCCUCUGUCAGACCCCCUGGGAACUCUGAGAGUCCCGGCUUAGGCAGAAAUGGAUGGGACCUUGUACCACAGUCUCGCGCAGUCACUGGAUGGGCUGCCCCAAGGACACCACUAGCUCGGCUCAGGAGUGGAGGGCCAUCUGAACCGGUUGUCAGUGGAGGCUGCGAGGCGCCACAUGCCUCACAGCUUUCUUGAAAGGGGAACGAGCCCUUUCUGGAAGAGGGACUCUGAGCAAGACAUCUCGAUAAAUAAGGAGUCCCCCCAAAAGAGGUUGAGUUCUCUGCCCACCUAGGGCAGGGGAAGGGGUGAAAGCAGAAACCCGUUCCCUUCUUUUCUAGUUUGAAAUUUCCACCACAACCUGAGGGGUCCCUAAGGUAAGAAAACCAAGGAGCCCAGUGAAUGUUGUCUCCAGAUUCCCUCACGAAAAUUCAGCAAGUACCUCGUACACGUGGGCCCAGGUUACCCAGAGGUCCAUCUGGGACUCUCAGCUGCUCAUCCUUUAGGAUCAGUUUAUUCCAAUGGUACUGACAGCAUCAGGCUUGGGGAGGGGGUUAGACAGUUUGGGCAGAGGGGGAAGAAUCAAAGGUGUUGAAUUCUGGGAGUUCCCACUGCGGUGGGAAUCUGACGGCAGGGGCUCGGGUUCCAUCCCUGGCCUGGGAACUUCCAUAUGCCGCAGGUGUGGCCAUUAAAAAAAAAGCAAUUUUGCCAUAGGCUGGCUCUCAUUUGAAAAAUAAAGAAAAUCUGCUUCAUAGCAUCAGUGUAAUGGCAUGAUCACUGGUACCAUCAAUGGUUCCACCAGUCUGAUGGAAUUAUUAUUUAUUAUCAUUAUUAUUAUUUUUAUUUUGAUGGUUGUACCUGUGGCAUGUGAAAGUUCCUGGGCCAUGGGUCAAGUUGGAGCUACAGCUGCUGGCAACGUCAGAUCCAAGCCAUAUCUGCAAACUAUGCUGCAGCUUGCAGCAAUGCUGGAUCCUUCACCCACCGAGGGAGGCCAGGAAUCAAACCUGCAUCCUCACAGAGACAGCAUUGGGUCCUCAACCUGCUGAGCCACCAUGGGAACUCCUCUGGUGGAAUUACUUAUGCAAAGAGCCUGGCACAGUGCUUGGCACAUAGUAAGUGGUCCACUAAUGGGAGCUGGUCAUAUUCUAUUCUUUUGAUCGACUUAGUCAUUCACAGUCAUUGUUGGCUUACUAUGCCUAGGCCCCGAGAGUACACUGUUGAUAAAAAAUAGCUCAGGGAGUUCCGUCUGGUACGGCGGAAAUGAAUCCGACUAGGAACCAUGAGGUUGCGGGGUCGAUCCCUGGCCUCGUUCAGUGGGCUAAGGAUCUGGUGUUGCCAUGAGGCUGUGGGGUAGGUCGCAGACAUGGCUCAGAUCCUGUGUUGCUGUGGCUGUGGUAUAGACUGGCAGCUAUAGGUCUAAUUCAAUCCCUAGCCAGGGAUGGAACCUGCAUCCUCAUGGACCCUAUGUCGGGUUCUUAACCGGCUGAGCUACAACGGGAACUCCCACACUGAGCUAUUCUAUCUUCUGGGGAAAGAGACUGUUCCAGGUCACCCUUCUUGGGAACCGACUAGUCUUUUCUGAGUGUCCACGAAAAGUGAAGAGUAGGGAGUCUGAAGACAAGGUCGUACCAUCAGGAGGGGAAAAAAAAAAAAAAAAGCAAAACACAAAACAGAACAACAAAAAAAAGAGCUUACAAGUAACACCAGAGUUCCACAAGAAAGCUUGGGAUCGGCUGGCUGCAUUCGGAGUGAGUCCCUUCCAAAAUCCCUUUGGACUUUUGCUCAUAGCUUUGCCUCAGGUGAUUGUCUUGAUCAUUCCUGCACCAGACACUGACUGAGCUCUAAAGGGAAGGAACUGGAUCCCAUUCUUCUGUUUUCUGUUUCCUCCUGGGCUUAGGGCACAACAGGUACUGAAUUUACACACUUUUUAAACCAAAUAUAGAUUUCUUACCAGUUAACCUUUUUGCCUGGCGUCCUGAAAAGAAGCAAGUCCUUUAAGCCAUGGGUCCAAAUACUUUUUUUUCUGGAAAAGCAAAGUCUUCAUAAAAUCAUAGAAAUUCUUCUAUUGAAAACUAGCAAAGCAGGAAAAUGAAAUUGGCAACAAGGUGGCAGAAGCAAAGAGAUUUUAUUUUUCUCCAGGAGAACUAAGGAGAGCUAAUUCUAUUCACUUAGAAUGUUACUUGCUGUGAUGUAUUGAUAAGAAUCAUGAUAUCACAACUGAACAGUUAAAAUCUGGCAAUCAGUUUAAGUGACCUCCCUUUAAAGGAAAUAACUUCAACUUUAGUUAGUUGUAUGUGAAGUGGGACAAUUGGGUUACUUGUUAGUUUCUAUAGCUUUCUCCAGCUUACUCAGAAACCUAUACCAAAUGCACUGGAUCAUAUUCAGGGGGUAACUGCAGAAAACAUGGCAUGUGUUAAGUUUAACCAUAUAAAACUGUUAUUUUAUAUGUCAAAAAACAGCUGAUUAUUGGCAGUUUCUUAUGGUUCAACUGAAUAGCAGUGAUGCUACCACUGACAUUAAUGGUUUUCUUUUCCUAAAAUGUAAUUAUUAAUCUUAAAUUAUAGAAUUGUAUCAAAAAGAUACAUGCACCCCUAUGUUCAUAGCAG
rnacentral:lncRNA from 1 species